rnacentral:rRNA from 1 species
CCUACGGGAGGCAGCAGUGGGGAAUAUUGCACAAUGGGGGAAACCCUGAUGCAGCAACGCCGCGUGAGUGAAGAAGUAUUUCGGUAUGUAAAGCUCUAUCAGCAGGGAAGAAAAUGACGGUACCUGAGUAAGAAGCCCCGGCUAACUACGUGCCAGCAGUCGCGGUAAUACGUAGGGGGCAAGCGUUAUCCGGAUUUACUGGGUGUAAAGGGAGCGUAGACGGCGAUACAAGUCUGAAGUGAAAGCCCGGGGCUCAACCCCGGGACUGCUUUGGAAACUGUGUUGCUGGAGUGCUGGAGAGGCAAGCGGAAUUCCUAGUGUAGCGGUGAAAUGCGUAGAUAUUAGGAAGAACACCAGUGGCGAAGGCGGCUUGCUGGACUGUAAAUGACGCUGAGGCUCGAAAGCGUGGGGAGCAAACAGGAUUAGAUCCCCUUGUAGUC